GGAGGCAGCAGUCGGGAAUUUUGGGCAAUGGGCGCAAGCCUGACCCAGCAACGCCGCGUGAAGGAUGAAAUCCCUCGGGAUGUAAACUUCGCAAGAACAGGAAGAAUAAGUGGGGGACAAUACCCCCCAUGAUGACGGUACUGUUUGUAAGCUCCGGCUAACUCCGUGCCAGCAGCCGCGGUAAUACGGGGGGAGCAAGCGUUGUUCGGAUUUACUGGGCGUAAAGGGCGCGUAGGCGGUCGUGACAAGUCACUUGUGAAAUCUCCGGGCUUAACUCGGAAAGGUCAAGUGAUACUGUCGGACUAGAGUGCAGAAGGGGCAACUGGAAUUCUCGGUGUAGCGGUGAAAUGCGUAGAUAUCGAGAGGAACACCUGCGGCGAAGGCGGGUUGCUGGGCUGACACUGACGCUGAGGCGCGAAAGCCAGGGGAGCGAACGGGAUUAGAUACCCCGGUAGUCCUGGCCUUAAACGAUGAAUGCUUGGUGUCUCGGGUUACAUAGUCCCGGGGUGCCGUCGCUAACGCUUUUAGCAUUCCGCCUGGGGAGUACGGUCGCAAGACUGAAACUCAAAGGAAUUGACGGGGACCCGCACAAGCGGUGGAGCAUGUGGUUUAAUUCGACGCAACGCGAAGAACCUUACCUGGGCUAGAAUGCCUCUGACAACCCUAGAGAUAGGGCCUUUUGGGUAAAACCAGACAGAGUGCAAGGUGCUGCAUGGCUGUCGUCAGCUCGUGUCGUGAGAUGUUGGGUUAAGUCGCGCAACGAGCGCAACCCCUGUCCUUAGUUGCCAUCAGGUAAAGCUGGGCACUCUAGGGAGACAAACCCUCUCUGAGGGUGGGAAGGUGGGGAUGACGUCAAGUCAGGAUGGCCCUUACGGCCUGGGCUGCACACGUGCUACAAUGCUCGGUACAGAGGGACGCAAGACCGCGAGGUGGAGCAAAUCCCAAAAACCGAGCCCAGUUCAGAUUGCAGUCUGCAACUCGACUGCAUGAAGCCCGGAAUCGCUAGUAAUGGCGUAUCAGCUACGACGCCGUGAAUACGUUCCCGGCCUUGUACACACCGCC
rnacentral:rRNA from 1 species